UGUGCGUGAUGAAAGGGAAGAUGCUGCCCGUGGGAUCCAUGAGGCGGGAACCGAUGCCGGGAAGGCCUGAGUCUCAGAAGCCUGUGUGGCAAGGGUAAUCAUUUUGUAAUCUGAAGACUUCCUUGAUCUCCAACAACCAGGCUCCAAUGAGUUUAUAUCUAGUCAAGAUAUGAAUGUUUCUGCCUGGUGGUCUGAAUGCUUUCCCUGCCCAUCUUGUCCCCUGUGCUUUGUCUCUCCUGGUAUCUCCCCAAUAAACUGUUCAUGGUUCUGUCUCUGUAACAUCU